UAAACUGAAAACCUCUCAUUGCAACUAUUUUCGCUAAACCUGUUUUCGUAGUUGGAAGUUGGAAUAUAAAGGGGAACCAAAAACUCUUGUUUGUGAAAUUGUGUUCCAUAACUCUUACUGAAUAGGAGUACUGAGGAAGAAGAAGAAGAAGAAGAAGAAGAAGAAGAAGAAGAAGUAGAAGAGGAAGAAUGGGUAAAAAGCAGAAAAAGCCAGGAAAAGGCAAGGAGAAAACUGAGAAGAAAACUGCUAAAGCUGAGGUCAAAAAAGCUCGCCGUGAGACUAAGAAGCUCUCUCCCGAAGAUGACAUUGACGCCAUUUUGUUAAGUAUCCAGAAAGAGGAGGCUAAGAAGAAGGAAGUUCAUGUCGAGGAAAAUGUGCCUGCCCCAUCUCCCCGGUCCAACGGCUCGUUGAAUAUAAAUCCAUUGAAAGAGACGGAGUUGAUCCUUUACGGUGGUGAAUUCUACAAUGGAAAUAAGACAUUUGUCUAUGGUGAUCUUUAUCGUUUUGAUGUCGAAAAGCAAGAUUGGAAAUUGGUAUCGAGCCCUAACAGCCCUCCACCUCGUAGUUCACAUCAAGCCAUUGCUUGGAAGAAUUACCUCUAUAUUUUUGGUGGUGAGUUCACAUCUCCGAAUCAGGAGCGAUUUCAUCACUACAAGGACUUUUGGGUAUUAGACCUUAAAACAAAUCAAUGGGAGCAAUUGAAUUACAAGGGAGCUCCAAGUCCGCGGUCUGGCCAUCGGAUGGUUCUGUACAAGCAUAAGAUUAUAGUGUUUGGUGGAUUUUAUGACACUCUUAGAGAAGUAAGGUACCUUAAUGAUUUGCAUGUAUUUGAUCUGGAUCAAUUCAAGUGGCAAGAAAUAAAGCCUCGGCCUGGGUGCAUGUGGCCCAGUCCAAGGAGCGGUUUCCAGCUUGCUGUUUAUCAAGAUGAGAUAUUUUUGUAUGGAGGUUAUUUCAAAGAAGUUUCAUCGGAUAAAAACAACUCCGAGAAGGGAGUAGUCCACUCUGAUAUAUGGUCGUUGGACCCGAGAACUUGGGAAUGGAACAAGGUAAAGAAAAGUGGGAUGCCUCCAGGACCUCGUGCUGGAUUUUCUAUGUGUGUGCACAAGAAAAGAGCUGUACUUUUCGGAGGAGUGGUUGAUAUGGAAGCUGGUGGUGAUGUCAUGAUGAGUCUAUUUCUAAAUGAGCUAUAUGGUUUCCAAUUGGACAAUCACCGCUGGUACCCGCUGGAGCUCCGGAAGGAAAAGUCCAGCAAAGAUAAGUUGAAAAAGAUGGCUGAUGAUAAAAAUAGUAAAGUUCUACUUGUAAAUGAGGUUAGUUCAUUAGAUAUAGAUACUGGUGAAGGAAAUAGAGUUGAUAUAGCUAUGGAUGACCAAGAAGUAGGAAAUGAGAUGGAGGACAGCAUUGGUGAGAUGUCUCUCAAUACAGACAAUAUUGGCAGCAAUGGUAGACUGGUCUCAAAAAAUGAUAGCAGGUCUUGUGAACCUGGCACUAGCAAGGAAUCAGUAGAUAUUGCUUUACCAGAGACUAUCAAGCCUUGUGGACGCAUCAAUGCGUGCAUGACUGUUGGAAGAGAUACUUUAUACUUGUAUGGGGGCAUGAUGGAGGUCAAAGAUCGUGAAAUUACACUAGAUGAUCUGUACACACUUAAUCUCAGCAAACUGGAUGAAUGGAAGUGCAUACUACCAGCUUCUGAAUCUGAAUGGAUUGAAGCUUCAGAGGAUGAGGAUGAGGAUGACGAUGAGGAUGAAGAUGAGGAAGGUGAUGAUAGUGAAGACGAUGAAAGCAGCAGUGAAGAGACCGAUGAUGAUGUAGAAAUGGAGGCUGUGAGUGCUGAUGGAAAAGCGCGUCAAGUAGGAGAUGCUGUUGCUUUAAUAAAAGGGGAAGGAAAGAAUCUCCGGAGGAAGGAAAAACGAGCAAGAAUAGAGCAAAUCAGAGCUAGUCUUGGCCUUUCAGAUACAAUGAGGACACCUGCGCCUGGUGAAUCUUUGAAGGACUUCUAUAAGCGAACCAAUAUGUACUGGCAAAUGGCAGCAUAUGAGCACACUCAACACACUGGCAAAGAGCUCCGGAAAGAUGGUUUUGAUUUUGCGGAAGCGCGAUAUAAGGAGCUCAAACCACUUUUGGAUGAGCUGGCUGUGUUGGAAGAGGAACAGAAGGCCGAAGAGCAGGAAGUGGCUGAAUCAAGUUCUAAGAAAGUAGGCAACAAGAAAUCCAGGCAUUCAUCCUCACAAAGAUAAUGUUUGGUUUUGCGCAUCUUGCAAGAGGGAAGUACAGCUAGUUUUUGAUGGAUUAAGAAAAAUAAAACUUCUCACGAGAAAUUCUCCAUUUCUUAGUCUUACAUGCAGGUAUGACCUCGCAAUAGCCAGCUCAUCUUGGGACUCCCAUCGAAACCUAAAUUGGUCCAUGUUAAGCCACGUAAAUGAGUCGGCCCGUGUCUGUGCUGUAAGAAUUGAGUGAACCAACCUUUUGUUGUGAGCUUGAAAAUGGAGGUUGUGUAGCUUUACACUCCAUUAUCCAUGGGAGAAAGCGAAAUGUCAUUUUCUGUUAUGGUUUGGAAAGUCAGCACUAAUUCUGGUUCAUACAUGAAAGGUAAAUUUCAUUAUAUCAAAUAAUGGCACUAUAGAUACAUGUGGUUGUCAUGAGCAUAUAUGUUUUUUCCCCUAAAGUUCAGCAUACAGGUGGCUCUGAAUCUAGACACAUCACAUAUGACUUGUAAGUUAUCUGUUAAUGAUGUUAUCUUUUGAAACCUACAAAUUGGGAUUAAUUUCUCUUGUAACUUUAAUUUCGUUGCUAAAAGAUGGGUGAAAAAGUUGGUCUCACUUAUACAA